rnacentral:tRNA from 1 species
GCCCACGUGGCGGAAUUGGUAGACGCCCGGGACUUAAAAUCCCGUGCUGCGCAAGCGGCGUGCCAGUUCGAGUCUGGCCGUGGGCACCA